rnacentral:rRNA from 1 species
AGAGCGAACGCUGGCGGCAGGCCUAACACAUGCAAGUCGAGCGCCCGUAGCAAUACGGGAGCGGCAGACGGGAUAGUAACACGUGGGAACGCGCCCUUCGGUUCGGAAUAACUCAGGGAAACUUGAGCUAAUACCGAAUACGCCCUUACGGGGAAAGAUUUAUUGCCGAAGGAACGGCCCGCGUCCGAUUAGCUAGUUGGUGAGGUAAUGGCUCACCAAGGCUACGAUCGGUAGCUGGUCUGAGAGGAUGACCAGCAUCACUGGGACUGAGACACGGCCCAGACUCCUACGGGAGGCAGCAGUGGGGAAUAUUGGACAAUGGGCGCAAGCCUGAUCCAGCCAUGCCGCGUGGAUGAUGAAGGCCUUAGGGUUGUAAAGUCCUUUUAACGGGGAAGAUAAUGACGGUACCGUAGAAUAAGCCCCGGCUAACUUCGCGCCAGCAGCCGC